rnacentral:rRNA from 1 species
AAAUUGAAGAGUUUGAUCAUGGCUCAGAUUGAAUGCUGGCGGCAGGCCUAACACAUGCAAGUCGAACGGUAACAGGAAACAGCUUGCUGUUU